rnacentral:tRNA from 1 species
GGCGGGGUGCCGGAGCGGUCGAACGGGGCGGUCUUGAAAACCGCUGACGGGGCAACUCGUCCGUGGGUUCGAAUCCCACCCCCGCCG